rnacentral:tRNA from 1 species
UCCCUGGUGGCUCAGUGGUAAAGCAUCUGCCUGCAAUGCAAGGGACACAGGUUCAAUUCCUGGGUUGGGAA